GAGCUUUGGGUGCGGCAGAAGCGUCAACAGCCCCGUUUGUGAUUGGCCCGGCGGCCCGGAAUGUGGGAGGAGAGAGAAGGCGGAGGGAGUGCGCUUGCGCGAAGUCGACGCCUUUGGGCGCUCCGGGAGUGACGAGGCAGUACAGCGCGAGCAGAUGUUCGUUAGGGGCCAGGCUUUGAUCUCUGUUGUUUCUGCUCUCCCUCAGCGCAGAGAUAGCGGGCCUUGGUUCUGCGCGCGCUUUUUUUACUCGCCGUCCUUCUGAGGGGGCGCGUUGAGUCGUCGAGAUGCUGCCGCCCUUCUGACGGGAUUCGGCAGCUGCACCCGACAGGCAGAAACGCAACCGGUGUAGCUGCGCCCCUUGCCUCUUGUGAGGGAGAAAAACCUCACCUGCGGAGUUGGCUUAUUUAGGGUAUUUAUAUCCUGCUCCUCAGCCAAAAAGACUCCCGCAGCGACUUAUGAGGAAUUAAAGCAAUACGCUCCCUUACAAUCUUAAAAUGAAAAAGGAAUACAACGCCCAAGAGGACAGGGGAAAAUAAAUCUCAAAAGUUUAAGCACCAAUUUCUAGAGACAGUUGUUCCUGUGCUGACCAGCUGGCAUAGUUAAGAGGCAGAAGGUGCCAGCAGAGCUGGGCCUCCUGCAAAGUGGAUGCAAUGAACCAACUUCCUCUCUUGCCCUGAGACAGGGUGAUGGAAUGCCUCUACCCAGGUGACAGUUGAGGGUGAGGAGGCCUGAUGGAAUGAGUUGCCAUAAGAUUGGAGAAUUGUAGAGUUGGAAGGGGUCCCAAGGGUCAUCUGGUUCAACUCCACUGAAGUUUUUUUAAUAGAGGUUGAAUGGCCAUUGGUCAGGGAUGCAUUGCAGGGAGUUGGACCAGAUUACAUUAGAUAUUUGAAGAUGGCUAUCAUAUCUCCUCUCAGUCUCCGCUUUACCAGGCUGAAUGUACCCAACUUCCUCAACCAUUCCUCAUAAGGCUUGAUUUCCAGACCCUUGAUCAUCUUGGUCACCCUCUGCACACACUCUAGAUCCUUAAAUUAUGGCGUCAAGAACAGGACACAGUACUCCAGGUGUUGUCUGACCAAGCCGAGCUCAACGACUCAGUUCCAGCACCUCUCAAGUGGGCACCAUUGCCAUUAUAAGAGAACAAAGGAGGAGUUCAUGAUUUAAAGUGACAGGGCUGAGAAAGACUUCGGCUUGGUGGUCCCCAAGAAAUCAGUGGAGAGAUACC